rnacentral:rRNA from 1 species
UACGAAGGGGGCUAGCGUUGUUCGGAUUUACUGGGCGUAAAGCGCACGUAGGCGGAUCGUUAAGUCGGGGGUGAAAUCCUGGAGCUCAACUCCAGAACUGCCUUCGAUACUGGCGAUCUCGAGUCCGGAAGAGGUGAGUGGAACUCCUAGUGUAGAGGUGGAAUUCGUAGAUAUUCGCAAGAACACCAGUGGCGAAGGCGGCUCACUGGCCCGUUACUGACGCUGAGGCACCGAAAGCGUGGGGAGCAAACAGG